AUGCAGAUCUUCGUGAAGACGCUGACGGGCAAGACCAUCACGGUGGAGGUGGAGAGCGGCGGCGCCGUCGACAGCCUCAAGGCCAAGAUCCACGACAAGGAAGGUAUCCUGCCGGACCAGCAGCGCCUCAUCUUCGCCGGGAAGCAGCUUGGCGACGGCCGCACCCUGGCCGACUACAACGUCCAGAAGGAGUCCACGCUUCACCUCGUGCUGGGCCUCGCCGGCGGGGACAAGGGCUCGUGCUACCCGCCCAAGAUGGAGCCUAACCUGCUCGAGCUCGCGCUCAAGUACAGGCAGCACAGGCUUGUGUGCCGCAAGUGCUAUGCACGCCUGCCCCUCAGGUCUGCCAACUGCCGCAAGAAGAAGUGCGGCCACAGCAAUGAGAUCAGGCCCAAGGAGAAGCUGCGCUACCACUGA
rnacentral:rRNA from 1 species